rnacentral:rRNA from 1 species
UACGGGGGGAGCAAGCGUUGUUCGGAUUUACUGGGCGUAAAGGGCGCGUAGGCGGCGUAACAAGUCACUUGUGAAAUCUCCGGGCUUAACUCGGAGCGGUCAAGUGAUACUGUUGUGCUAGAGUGCGGAAGGGGCUACUGGAAUUCUCGGUGUAGCGGUGAAAUGCGUAGAUAUCGAGAGGAACACCUGCGGCGAAGGCGGGUUGCUGGGCUGACACUGACGCUGAGGCGCGAAAGCCAGGGGAGCGAACGAG